rnacentral:rRNA from 1 species
GACCAUUUCUAAAAACCCUAAAGGCACCAGAUCCUUUCUGAUUUUGGAAGCUAAACAAGAUCAUCCCUGGUUAGUACUUGGAUGGAAGACCAUUCGUGAAUACCAGGUGCUGUAGGCU